rnacentral:rRNA from 1 species
GAUGAACGCUAGCUACAGGCUUAACACAUGCAAGUCGAGGGGAAGCGACAUCGAAAGCUUGCUUUUGAUGGGCGUCGACCGGCGCACGGGUGAGUAACGCGUAUCCAACCUGCCCACCACUUGGGGAUAACCUUGCGAAAGUAAGACUAAUACCCAAUGAUAUCCCACGAAGGCAUCCGAAUGGGAUUAAAGAUUUAUCGGUGAUGGAUGGGGAUGCGUCUGAUUAGCUUGUUGGCGGGGUAACGGCCCACCAAGGCGACGAUCAGUAGGGGUUCUGAGAGGAAGGUCCCCCCACAUUGGAACUGAGACACGGUCCAAACUCCUACGGGAGGCAGCAGUGAGGAAUAUUGGUCAAUGGGCGCAAGCCUGAACCAGCCAAGUAGCGUGCAGGACGACGGCCCUAUGGGUCGUAAACUGCUUUUAUAAGGGAAUAAAGUGAGUCUCGUGAGACUUUUUGCAUGUACCUUAUGAAUAAGGACCGGCUAAUUCCGUG